rnacentral:rRNA from 1 species
GUCGAGGGGCAGCAUUUCAGUUUGCUUGCAACUGGAGAUGGCGACCGGCGCACGGGUGAGUAACACGUAUCCAACCUGCCGAUAACUCGGGGAUAGCCUUUCGAAAGAAAGAUUAUUACCCGAUAGUAUAAUGAAACCGCAUGGUCUUAUUAUUAAAGAAUUUCGGUUAUCGAUGGGGAUGCGUUCCAUUAGGCAGUUGGUGAGGUAACGGCUCACCAAACCUUCGAUGGAUAGGGGUUCUGAGAGGAAGGUCCCCCACAUUGGAACUGAGACACGGUCCAAACUCCUACGGGAGGCAGCAGUGAGGAAUAUUGGUCAAUGGGCGCAGGCCUGAACCAGCCAAGUAGCGUGAAGGAUGACUGCCCUAUGGGUUGUAAACUUCUUUUAUAUGGGAAUAAAGUUUUCCACGUGUGGAAUUUUGUAUGUACCAUAUGAAUAAGGAUCGGCUAACUCCGUGCCAGCAGCCGCGGUAAUACGGAGGAUCCGAGCGUUAUCCGGAUUUAUUGGGUUUAAAGGGAGCGUAGGUGGACAGUUAAGUCAGUUGUGAAAGUUUGCGGCUCAACCGUAAAAUUGCAGUUGAUACUGGCUGUCUUGAGUACAGUAGAGGUGGGCGGAAUUCGUGGUGUAGCGGUGAAAUGCUUAGAUAUCACGAAGAACUCCGAUUGCGAAGGCAGCUCACUGGACUGCAACUGACACUGAUGCU